GACGAACGCUGGCGGCGUGCUUAACACAUGCAAGUCGAACGGAAAGGCCCUGCUUUUGUGGGGUGCUCGAGUAGCGAACGGGUGAGUAACAAGUGAGUAACCUGCCCUUGACUUUGGGAUAACUUCAGGAAACUGGGGCUAAUACCGGAUAGGAGCUCCUGCUGCAUGGUGGGGGUUGGAAAGUUUCGGCGGUUGGGGAUGGACUCGCGGCUUAUCAGCUUGUUGGUGGGGUAGUGGCUUACCAAGGCUUUGACGGGUAGCCGGCCUGAGAGGGUGACCGGCCACAUUGGGACUGGGAUACGGCCCAGACUCCUACGGGAGGCAGCAGGGGGGAAUAUUGCACAAUGGGCGGAAGCCGGAUGCAGCACCGCCGCGUGCGGGAUGACGGCCUUCGGGUUGUAAACCGCUUUCGCCGGUGACGAAGCGUGAGUGACGGUAAUGGGUAAAGAAGCACCGGCUAACUACGUG
rnacentral:rRNA from 1 species